ACUCUCUCUCUCUCUCUGCAAUUUUAAGUUCUCCUCCUCUUUUCACUCCACCUCUCCUCCUCUAGGUUUCCGCCGUGUUCAGCAUCCCACCGACUCUCAUCACCAUUUAGUAGUUCACUCUAUCUUUUCUCAGCAUUUCAUUUUCUUUUUGUUUUUCUUCUGAGUUCACAAAACCCAAUCAAAGUCCUCUCUUUUUCUUCUUUGCUCAAACUGAAAGAAGAAAAUCUUAGUAUUGAAACCAGUAAAAGAGAGUGAGUGUAGUAGUUACAAGAACGCGAGAACUACACUACAUGGAGUACUCUCCUCCGUGGAUGGAUCCUUCGCCGGCAACAACUACCCCAUCUUUCACGGUACUCGUUCGGCCUUGUUUCAAAUUUAACAGCUGUGAUUUUCUUGAUUAAUUAGGUUGCUUACAUCAUCCAAUGCAAUGGAUGAAAAUUCCUUCUUGGAGGCAAAUCAGUGCCAAAAGAAAGUCUCUUAGAAAACCCUCGCAAGAUGAUGGAAGUUCAAGUUGAUGCAUAUUCACUGACAGUGUUAGACAUCAAGUCAUCAUAGCCACAUUUGUGUAUUCCUGUAAUGUUUGAAAACAUGAAUAAGGAGAGAGUUGUGCAUACUUGUAAAAAACAUGAACGAGGAGAACGUGAACGAGGAGAGAGUGAGUUUGUGUGUACAUGCUUGUAAUGUUUGAAAACAUAAAUAAGUUGAGAGAGUUGUGCAUACUUGUAAUUAAAAACAUGAACAAGGAGAGUGAGUUUGUGUGUGAUAGUGAAAUUGUUGAUUAGUUAUUCAAGUUUAGUUGACGAUAUUGUUGUUGUCAAGUUGUGUCCAUUGACGAGAUAACUAGUAUUGGAUAUUCUGACCAAAAUCAAAGCCAACAAAAGCUAAUAUUGACGUCUUAAUGCAAUGUUUUUAGACUGAUGAUCAAAAUUAAGCUGAUUGUUUUUAUAUUUAAUUUGUAAUUAAGAAUUUAAUCAAUUAAUAUUUAACUCAAGAAAACAAAAAUUAUAAACUAUUUUCCCUUAUUUUUUUAAGGAUUAUGAGGAUCAAUUGUUUGUUAAAUGGAUCAAGAUUAUCAAUUACAUCUAUCAUAUCAUGUUAUGAGUUCCACGCCUCAUUAAUGUUUUGAAUAAAGCUUAAACAAGCAACAAUUAUAUUAUUUUUUUAACAAAAUAGAAAUAGAAAUAAUUAGAACAAAGCAUCGCAAAAAUUUAAUAAAAUCAAUACGAAAACCUUUGCAAUAUGUCAUUUUCUUGAUGUUACUACACCUCUAUGAUGACCUGCCGGUUCCAUUUUCUACUAGUGCCAUUGGCAAUCUCCCUAGUGAUUUAACAUUUAGCCUAUGUUUGGCUUUUGAGAGAAACUGCGGCAACACUGCGCGUUUCACAAAAGUGCGGUAACUUCUCAAAAUUGUAGUUGAAGGAGCAUCAAACGUGCGGUAGCGGUGGCAUACUGCUUCACCAAACACACAGUUAGAGAACAAAGUUUAAAUACAAAUUAAAAGAAAAAACAAAUUGGAUUUUUAGUUUAUGAAUGUAAUCAAAGUGUUUGGAAUUUUUUUUGGAUGGAAUACAGAAAUUCACUUGUUCAAGGCUUAAUUAAUACAGAAAAAAUAUUAUAUAAAAAAGUCAGUGUCAACCAAUUGAAGAUCAUCUUCACUAGGAUGAUAUCAGCUUACUAGCGCAUCGAUGAUGGAAGGAGCAAGCUAGGACGACAGUGGAAGGUUGAAGAAGAUGUAACCGUGAUGGAAAGU